ensembl:lncRNA
GUACUCCUUCCCCGAGUUCUGGAAAGUUCUUAGUUCUCUGUACCCCCGUUGGUUCUCCCCUCGAAGCCAUCCCUUCCCUCCAUCCCAGUUGGCUGUUGCCCUGUCGCUCUUCCCUGACUCUACCCUCAAGCCCUCACCUGGUUGGAUGUUUUGUACCCUGACCCUCCUACCCAGUUAUAGUUAUAAUCUCUGCCCCGCCCCUGGUUCGGGGCUCUUGGAGCUGGCUUCCCUUCCGUGUGGUUGUUCCCCUCGUCCCUCGCCUCGUUUUCCCUCUUACGAACCCUUGGAAAUAAAGCCGCCCGGGAGACACCCGCCUUUUGUGGAAGCCCGUUAUUUCGCCAACCACCGACGCACCUGCGGUCUGGAUCCGGCAGCUAUCCGCGGCGACUCUAGGACCCAGGCGCGUCAACUGGUGCCCGAACACACUGACCCCUGCACGGAGUCAGUCAAAGAGCGUCUCCUCGACAGCUUCGGCUCUGUGAUCUGGCUGCCCGAGGACCUUAAGCGCCGUUCGGAGCCAGUGCCACAGACGACCACGCUUCGUUUUAAGAAGACCUUUCGCCUCGUGGGCUGCGGACACCCGGUGGAGCAGGACCAGUAGCUUCGGGGAAGCUCCCUGGCACUCCGGACCCACAGCGCUUCCACCCCCCAUCGAGGUCUCUUCCUUUUGACGGGAGUCCAUCGCGAAUGAGGAUGGCUGCCCACAUUACACCAACCCGGAAGGAACAUCUGAAGAUGACCCACUGCGCCCAGCUGGCCGUCGCUGUGGUAGUCAUCUUGUGGCUGCAAGCGGCAGACGGCUGGAUCGUCCAGCAGCCAAAAGAAAACGUCUGGGUCACGCUUGCGAAAUCUUUGCAGCAAGAAAACCUAUGUCUGGCCAUGGGCAAUGUGGACAAUCCAUUGUCCACAUGCUUGGUGGGGGUUCCCCUGGUUGCCGAUGAUUGGCCCGUGUUCAACUCCGACCUGCUCCGAACCACAGGUAAGAGACCUAACCCGGUCGACACUUGGGAUGAGUAGACAAAAAUUUUAACAAACAGCAAAGAGGAACCCCAAGAAUUGGAUCUGCUGGGGUCCUCCACAGCUACAUAUUGUGUAAAAUUCUAUUACAGAAGGCCAAGUCAAAAUUGGCAUGGAAUCGAUUUGGCCAAGAAUACUUACAGAAAGGAUGUUACACCUCUCAACAAAAAAUAUAAUAGUCAGACCUGGUGCAAUUACACCAGCCAGGUCAUUUUGGUCUCCUCCACGCGUCCUAAGGUGCUCCCCAGGGGGAUGUUUCUUAUCUGUGGGGACAGAGUAUGGUCAGGAAUUCCAUUCCGGCUCCAGGGGGGACCAUGUAGCCUUGGCAAGCUUGCUACUCUCACUCUGAACAAGACCCAAAUUAUAGAUUGGAAAAAAGAGAAACAAUUGGCACGCACAAAAAGAUCAUACAACCAAUUUGAUGAAAAUUGCGAUUCCGAAAUUUAUAAUUGGGGAAAAACAAAGAGGAUCGCUGCAUCCAUUUUUCUCCCUUGGUAUGCGGCAGCUAAGGUCCUCGGUGAGCUUUCUCACUUGUAGUGCUGGAUUAGUAAGAAUGCCAACGCACGUCUGCCGCUCUCUCCGAUCUUCUGGCAGACGAGCAAACCAGCAGGCAUGCCACUCUACAAAAUCGAGCGGCCAUAGACUUCUUACUCCUAGCCCAUGGCCACAGCUGCGAGGACUUUGAUGGACUGUGCUGUUUUAAUUUAUCAUCUAGAAGCACGUCAAUUCAAGCCAACAUCAAGCGGAUCGAGGCGCAAGUAAAAGAUCUAAAGACUGAAACUUCAGCUGCUUACCCAGUAGAUAAAGCCUUUUCGCAGUGGGGUGUCCCCGGAUGGGCAGCCUCCAUCAUCAAAGGACUUCUAUGGAUUUUUGUAAUCAUCCUCCUCAUUUUUAUCACUUUAGCGAUCUUUAAGAAAUAUUUAGUUAAGACUUUGGGGGAUGUCUUUUUAAUUAACAAAGACGGGGGAGAUGUGGGAGGGGGUGUGGCUGAUGGCCCCCCUGCUCUGCCUUGGGAGGCAACUGACAUUUAGUUUCCCGCCUCCCCCAGUUGUCAGUCUUUUGUUAUCCCUUCCCUUUGCUCCUGUCCAUCAUUGUGUACUCCUUCCCCGAGUUCUGGAAAGUUCUUAGUUCUCUGUACCCCCGUUGGUUCUCCCCUCGAAGCCAUCCCUUCCCUCCAUCCCAGUUGGCUGUUGCCCUGUCGCUCUUCCCUGACUCUACCCUCAAGCCCUCACCUGGUUGGAUGUUUUGUACCCUGACCCUCCUACCCAGUUAUAGUUAUAAUCUCUGCCCCGCCCCUGGUUUGGGGCUCUUGGAGCUGGCUUCCCUUCCGUGUGGUUGUUCCCCUCAUCCCUCGCCUCGUUUUCCCUCUUACGAACCCUUGGAAAUAAAGCCGCCCGGGAGACACCCGCCUUUUGUGGAAGCCCGUUAUUUCGCCAACCACCGACGCACCUGUGGUCCGGAUCCGGCAGCUAUCCGCGGUGACUCUAGGACCCAGGCGCGUCAAUAACUUUAAGAAUUAGCAUUUUUUAACAUUAAAUUUUGAUUACCCUAAUUACCAGGACCACAGGAAAGCAGAAUCUGAAAGCUACAUUUGCAGCAGUUACUGAAGUAUUUUGAUUGUGCAUUGCAGGAAGGAAUCACUGUUUGAAGUUAGUCAUAAACCCUUCCUUUUAGGCAGCUGCUAAAUGACAUGGAUCUGAACAUGCCACAGAGUUUUGGGUUCAAGUUAUUUUCUAAGCCAAGAGAAGCCAGUAUUUUGACUAAAACUAGAAAAGUUUUGAUCUCAUCAGAACUUUAUCAUCCAAAAAACUGAACUCCUGCUAGACUGCCUUAACUGAUUACUGAUUGCAAGAUCCUUAUGAUUUUGGAUUAAAUAUACUAGAUAAUCUCAAAUAUUGUAAAUUAAGAAAUGUUUUGUGAUAAUACAUGUCUCUACGACACAAGCAACAUGUGUAGCAUGUUGCAACACCAUAAAAAGAGCAAUCUUUUUACAAUUUCUCUCUUCUUACUUUCUUAAUCAGUACAUAUACAAUUAAAUUGAUCUAGGAAAACUUAGUGACAUUGAGGCUUUUCUUUAUCCAUGGCUGGGAGAGGCAAAGAAAAUUUUUUCCUUUAAAGCAGCUACUAAAGGAUUUACAAGCAUAUCAACUAUGGUGCCUGAAGAAAUACUGCUGCAAUAAAUUAUAGAAUAGAAUUUCAACAGAUAUUACACAGAUAUUUGCAGAUGCUGCUCUGGAAAUAAACAAUUUUCAAGUACACAGGUUUUUCAUUUAAGGACAGGUGAAAAAAAAAUUGCAAGUAAAUGAAACUAUACCUAGGGUAUUUUUAAUAAAUCAAAUGUUGAAAUGGAAAUCAUUUAGACACCUGCAACUGCUUGCCAAGUUUGAAACUUGGGGGAAAUAACCCUUGAACACUAAGAGCUUUUCAAAAAAUAAAGAUGCAUACAUUGUUUUCCGAAAUUCUUACAAGGAUCUGAGUCCCAUAUGAAAUGUAAAUGAAAGCAUCAACCACAAGAAUUCAAUGUGACAUUAAUUUUGAACAUGCUCAGCCAAGACAACAUUUAAACAAAAACUUCUUCUGUAUUAAUUAUGAUCCUUGCAAAUGAGUGUAAAUUACUGCAGAGAGAUGCACCAGCCAUUCUCAGGGCAAGGCUGGCUAAGCAACUGCCUCUCUGAAUAGACAGGUAGCUAAACCUCCUUGGAAAGCAAAACAAGACAAAAAAAAUUUCUUCUCUUUUUUCCUCUUUACUGUGCAGCCAAAAGUACCCUGUGGGAUCUGCAUCUAAUAGUACACAAUGCAUAGAGAAGUAAUCCUGUAAAAGCUGACUGUGUUUGUGAUUUAUGCAAAGCAGAAAGGAAGUGUGUGUGGAAGCUGGAAACCUGUCUAAUGUGACUAACAUGGAUUUGUACAGAGACAAAACACUUUGAAAUGAAAUGUAGAAUCUCUCUCACAUGGAGUUAUCUAAUGUUUUAUUUGAUAUUAAGAAAAUAUCAGUGUAUAUCUAGAUGAAUCCCUAUUUAGCUAAGGCCGUUUUUUAUUGUUGAAAAAUAUAUUUUAUCUAGAGUUAUAUGUUUUGGUUUCUUCUUACUAUGCUUUCAGCUCUUCCAGCAAGAAAACUCCACCUGUGUAAUGGAUAACUAAGAGAUUUUUUUAAAUAUUUCAAGCACUGUGAUCUGUCUUGAAAUAUUUGGACUAUUUUAAUCUUUAAUAGCCUGUAUAUGACAGAUGUUAACAUAGUAACGUUUGAAAUUUAAUUAAUUCAGUGUGUUUUUUCACCUAGAGGCCUGAAUUGACAUCUCUAUUUGUCUGUGAAGCAAUUUCAUAAGUACUACAAAGUACCUUCAUGCAUGGGGUUUUUUAAUGUUUUUAACUGCAUCAUAUAUUUGGACAUGAGUGAGGACAACUGCACUUUCCUUUUUUCAGGAGUUUUUUUCAUUAAGGGUUUAUACUGAAAAUAGGUGUGCAAAUAAAAAAUGUUGAGAUUUAUAGAGGGGUUGAAUCUCCUAUUGGUCCCACAUCAAAAGCUCUAUUUAGUAGCUGUUAGUGAUGAAAUAAAGAUACUUGGACUUAGGUGCCAAAGUACAGAUUUCUCUUGGUGACAUCCUAAGGCACACAAGUGGGAACAUUUUGGCCCAAGUUUCAAACUCUUUUUCCCCCCCUUUCCUUCUAAGAUGUGAUGUCGUGUAAUCAGAAUCUGUCGUUCCCAUCACCUCAUGGUAGUUCUGCAGUCAGGCUGUGACAGUUCAUAUUUAGUGUCUGUAUGAAUUAUAUUAAGCAUCUUAAGGAAACUUAAGUAGGUAAACAUAUUAUUUCAUCAGUAGCUUCAUGAUCUUUUGGGGACUUGAAUACUUGUUUUUCUUGUAUAUUUCUGUUUUCUCUGUCAAAAUAGCCUACCAUUCAUAUUCUGUGUAUUAGCAUUUUUUACUGUCAGUACAAAAUACACAAUUUAACUCCACUGGCCCUUUUUUUUUUUUCCACAAACUCUAUAGGGUUAAUAGCAACUGGCAUGCUUCAGUGAAUUGUUUCUUAAACUUUAGAGCUAUUAUUUGAGAAAAUAUAUCUAUAUGACCUAUAUCAAUACCUAUAUAUUAAUUUUUUCUCCACAAACUUCCUGAGGUUCUAUUGCCUUUUGUGUUCAUUGCCUUUAAGCUUUUAAGUGCCUACACUUGGUGGUGAAUUCAUAAUUUUCCUCUCUUUAAAUGUAGCCCCCGAACCCUUGCAAGUUCUUCUUACAAACUCUGAAAUAGUUCUGUGCUUUUGGCAAAUUUAGUCCAAGUACAAAGGUGAUUGUAACUCAUAGGAGGCUGCUCUGUUGUGACCACCUUCUUUUUAUUCAGGUAACUAAUUGCCACUAAGCUGCUCCACUGACAAUCUGACUUUGAGCUGCUUUGUGUCUGCACACCAGGAGUGUUUUCCUAUGUUUUGGAUUAUGAAUUAAAAGAUAUUAUCACUUGCAUACAGAAAAGCCUGGAGUAUCAUGUGUGGCUUGCUUCUCCACCCACCUUUGGUGCAUGCUGUGUGUGCUCAAGUGAGGACCUGUUUGUGUGUAACAAGGAAAUAGGGUGUCCAUAAACACCCUAUUUGGGUGUUUAUGGGGCUGUAUUUUCAGAUAUUUUUAUGACUAUGUAAAUUGGGCACACAUUGAAAUCUGAUAAAACUUAUCAUUGUCAGGUAUUAUGUAAAUACUGGAUGGAUAUGAAUAGUCCUUUUAUCAUGCUGUGCAGUGCCUUGUCCUCCAUUAUAAUAAAGGUAACAAUGCUUGCCUUAAAAAGGUCCAUUUAUUUAUUAUUUUUUGCAGCUCCUUUGAUGGAAAUCAGUGUUGUUUGUAAUUUUAUGCAGUCUAAAUAAUAAAAGUUAUGGGUUAC